GGAAUUCUCUUGGUUUUCGUACCGACCUCCUGUAUAGGGAUGGAGGGCUGGCUGCGAAUCAGGAGGCUGGGGGUUGGCCGAGGGGAGGGAAGCCAGGCUUGUGGCCCUUGCUUGCCUGGAACCUCCAGUGUCCUGUCAUCGUGAGCCCACUUUCAGCUUCUGUUUUUCAUAUGAUUAUGUAACAGAAUCCUUGGCAGCAUUAAAAAUUCAGUAUUACAAGCUGAUUGUAAUGCUGCCUCAUUAGACAGCGCUGUCUGGCCUUGUAUUAAGUGAAACACAGAGCAUGGCUUUCAGAUUAUAAACACCAAUAAAUAUUAAGGAUCCGCAGAGCGGGCGGGGCACCCCCCCACACACACACACACACACGCGCGGGCGCACACACACACACACACACACCUUGUCUGUCCACAUCUCCAUGCAACUCCCCCCCCCACCAAAAAAACCCCCAACCUCCCAGUCUGGUAAUGAUGACUUUGAUUCAGUCACAAAUUGGAGGCUGGCUUUAGGGGCUUCAUGCUGUGAAGAAAAGAAAAUGUUUCCAGCCGUUACCCCACAGCAUCCCCCCCCCAGCUUCUGUCCUUACUCAGUUUUAAUUCCCUCCUUUUGCAUUUGUUUUCCUGCUGCUGCCUUUUCAUAGCCAUAAAGGUCAUUCUGAUGUUACUAAAAAUGACCGCAAUGUCCAGUCUCAUUUCCAUGUGAUCUAUAAUCGGAAUCCCCCCCCCAGGAAAAAAAAAAAAGUAGAGUGGGGAGAGGAAGGAGGAAAAACUGAGUGUGUAGGCCCCCAAGGCUUUCCUCUAAUAGGAUGAUGGGUUUUAGGUUAAAAAAAUAUUGUUUUGUUCUUUUAGAUUCAGAAAUAAUAGGGAGAGAGGGAAAAGCAGUCAUUAGGAAGUUCACUGAGCUGCUUUCCAAGCAAGACGGGUGAAAAAUGAACCUGCUCUGACACUUGGCUCCAUGUGAAAACCCCAGUAACCUCUCCCCCCUUCCGUGGCCCUGGCCUUUUGUUCCUGGAGAACGGAGCUAAGGUGCUUUUUCUCCCAGACCAAAGGCAGCAGGCAAGGAGUCCCCUUGUGUGCUCAUCGGCCUUUCGAUGGCCUUCUCAUGGUUAUUGUCAAUGCAGGCUCCCCCAAACAAUUGCUUCAGGGAGACACAAAAGCAAAAACAUUUGUCCUAUUUUUUGAACCUCUUUGUUUUAGCUUCCCCCCCCCCCAUCCAUUCUUUAAAUUUCACAGUUUCUAUUUGUCUGCAGAGAGACAAACGGAACAGCAUGAAGCAAGCGCAUUUUACCGUAGGCCUCACUGGCGAUUGGAACGGCCUCAAUAGAAAUCCAGAUUCUCAAAACACUGGCUGACUUGGAGGAGAUGUGAAAUUUCAGCUCGGGGCUUUUAAGUGAGAUUAGCACAGAUUUUGAACCAAAAAUGCACUAAGAGGAAAAGAUAAGACAAUGGGAUUCUGGACUCAUUGGGGGCAAGUGUGAAAAGGGUCAUCUUUUGUUUAUCUCUGAGGAUCCUGCCCCAAGAAGCGGCCGCUUGAUAGAAAGGCAUUGCAAACCCAAAUGCAUUUCUUCAUUUAAAAAAAAAAAAAAAAUUGGAUUCCGGUUAUGGUGUUCCUGGUAUAUCGUUGAAGUGGUUGUUUUAAUGCACGUGUAGGGGAACUGUUGGUACGUACUCUGGUAUUGAUGCUGCGUUGAGAUUUUUUAAAAAACUGCAAUUUAUAUAAAGAGGCCACACCCCUUCCCCCUUUUCUCUCCCCUCCUGCUUCCUUUUUCCUUUCUUCGCUCUCCAACCAGAAUUCAGUGGUUUGCACCAGGCUGAGGGCAGAGGGAUGUGUCAGAGUGUGAGGCAGGCCUGUGGACAAAACAGGAGCCCACCUCUUUUUCCUGGCCCCAGACAAAGCUCCUCGCUCUCCUGUAAUGCAUGGACCCUGAUUGCGAUGCUGUCCUUAAGCUUAGGUCUGCCUUUUCAUUAACAUUCUCAAUUUCAAGGUUUAGCAACACAAAUGUAAGAAUCCCCCUGGGUAUAAAAGUCUUGCAUGGCAAAUUCUCUUGGCCCUUUCAGAAAUAUUUUUGUUUAAAAAAAAAAAAAAAAA
rnacentral:lncRNA from 1 species